rnacentral:rRNA from 1 species
UACGUAGGGCGCAAGCGUUGUCCGGAAUUAUUGGGCGUAAAGAGCUCGUAGGCGGUUUGUCGCGUCUGCUGUGAAAUCCCGAGGCUCAACCUCGGGCUUGCAGUGGGUACGGGGCAGACUAGAGUGCGGUAGGGGGAGACUGGAAUUCCUGGUGUAGCGGUGGAAUGCGCAGAUAUCAGGAGGAACACCGAUGGCGAAGGCAGGUCUCUGGGCCGCAACUGACGCUGGAGGAG